rnacentral:rRNA from 1 species
GAUGAACGCUGGCGGCGUGCCUAAUACAUGCCAGUCGAGCGAACGGACGAGAAGCUUGCUUCUCUGAUGUUAGCGGCGGACGGGUGAGUAACACGUGGAUAACCUACCUCUAAGACUGGGAUAACUUCGGGAAACCGGUGCUAAUACCGGCUAAUAUUUUGAACCGCAUGGUUCAAAAGUGAAAGACGGUCUUGCUGUCACUUAUAGAUGGAUCCGCGCUGCAUUAGCUAGUUGGUAAGGUAACGGCUUACCAAGGCAACGAUGCAUAGCCGACCUGAGAGGGUGAUCGGCCACACUGGAACUGAGACACGGUCCAGACUCCUACGGGAGGCAGCAGUAGGGAAUCUUGCGCAAUGGGCGAAAGCCUGACGGAGCAACACCGCGUGAGUGAUGAAGGUCUUCGGAUCGUAAAACUCUGUUAUUAGGGAAGAACAUAUGUGUAAGUAACUGUGCACAUCUUGACGGUACCUAAUCAGAAAGCCACGGCUAACUACGUG